AUGUCUUCCUCCUCCGGCAUAUCUCACCCUAGCCUCAGUGUGCAGGUGAUCAAGAAACUCUCCCGCACGAAUUACGUGCUAUGGCGCACACAGAUAACACCACAACUUCGUGGCGCCGGUGUCUUCCAGUACGUUGACGGCACCCUACCGGAGCCGAAGAAACUUCAAGCCGCCAAGGACAAGGACGGCAAGGACACGGUUGUGCCCAACCCUCUCCACCCCAUCUGGGUUCGGGAGGACCAGCAGGUGCUAGGCUUCCUGCUGAGCAACCUCUCCAAAGAGGUGCUCGUCACGGUGACCGCGGUCACCACGGCGCAAGCGCUCUGGACGAUGCUGGCGGGCAUGUACUCGUCGCAGUCACUGAGCCGCGUAAACAACAUCCGUAUCUCGCUCAUCAACGCGCGGAAGGGCAACCAGUCCGCCGCCUCCUACUUCGCCACCAUGCGCGGACUCGCGGAUGAACUUGCGGCGGCCGGCAAACCCAUCCAGGACGACGAGCUGAUCUCGUACAUCCUCCACGGGCUGGAUCAGGAGUACCAGCUGCUAAACUUGGGGUUGAUCAUGCUAGACUCAAAGAGGAGUUUGAGAUACUUGACAAGGUGUUUGCUUCUGGUGGGGGAUCAUGGUUGCUCGAUA
rnacentral:rRNA from 1 species